rnacentral:rRNA from 1 species
UACGGAGGGUGCGAGCGUUGUCCGGAAUCAUUGGGCGUAAAGGGCGCGUAGGUGGCCCGGUCAGCCUUUGGUGAAAGCGCGGGGCUCAACCCUGCGUCGGCCAGGGAUACUGCCGCGGCUCGAGCACUGUAGAGGCAGGCGGAAUUCCGGGUGUAGCGGUGGAAUGCGUAGAGAUCCGGAAGAACACCGGUGGCGAAGGCGGCCUGCUGGGCAGUUUUGCUGACACUGAGGCGCGACAGCGUGGGGAGCAAACAGG